GUGAUUUAAACCGUUAGUGGGCGUCGUGAAAUAAGCGACACAGGGACGAAUUUCCUCGUGUUUUGUUGCACGAUGUGGAGCUUGUGGGAAACAGGCCAGUGCCAGCAGAGCGAAGCCACCGGGAGGAAUCAAAUCCUCAGGAAGUCACCU